rnacentral:rRNA from 1 species
GACGAACGCUGGCGGCGUGCUUAACACAUGCAAGUCGAACGGAAAGGCCCCUUUGGGGGUACUCGAGUGGCGCACGGGUGAGUAACACGUGAGUAACCUGCCCUUGACUUCGGGAUAACUUCAGGAAACUGGGGCUAAUACCGGAUAGGAAUCCUUGCUGCAUGGUGGGGGUUGGAAAGCUUCGGCGGUUUUGGAUGGACUCGCGGCUUAUCAGCUUGUUGGUGGGGUAGUGGAUUACCAAGGCUUUGGCGGGUAGCCGGCCUGAGAGGGCGACCGGCCACAUUGGGACUGAGAUACGGCCCAGACGCCUACGGGAGGCAGCAGUGGGGAAUAUUGCACAAUGGGCGGAAGCCUGAUGCAGAAACGCCGCGUGCGGGAUGACGGCCUUCGGGUUGUAAACCGCUUUCAGCAGGGGCGAAGCUUGUGGUGACGGUACCUGCAGAAGAAGCACCGGCUAACUACGUG